rnacentral:misc_RNA from 1 species
UUUGUUUAUACAACAUAGAAUAAUAUAUAUCUUUGUUUAAUCCAUGUCAAUAUAUAUAUUAUUUUUUAUAUUAUUUGAAUGUUUUAUUCAAAUAAUAUAAACAUUUAAAAAAUAAAUUCAAGAUUUAAAGUAUAAAAUAAAAACCCUGGCAAUAAC